AUGGCUUCUCGGCCUUUUGGCUAAGAUCAAGUGUAGUAUCUGUUCUCCUCAGUUUCAUACUGGUGGAGAAGUCCCACUGGUGUGGUGCUGGUGGGGGUGGGUGCUGCAUGUAGGAGGCAGGUCAACCGGGGCGUUCCGGGGCCGGUUCUGAGGAAUCAGCUCGAUGGCUGUCCUGAUGUGACCUGUU